ensembl:lncRNA
GACGAGGAGAGGGUGCCACCGCAGAAGUGCUCACUUGAAAAAUUCUAAACGCGUCAAAAUAACUUUGAUAAACUCGCAAAGACGCCUGGCUCAGGGGAAAGGAAUGGGCCCCGCGCCCCGAGAGCCCACUUCCCGCGCCGCCGCCGGGAGAGCCACCGCGGGGCGGGCGGGGCGCGGGGUCCCCUCUGGCGCCGCUGACUCACCGCGGCCCGCGCCUUAAAAGGGCAGUCGCUUCCGGGGCCGACCCGGCGUUGGGGGGGGGGGGGCUCGUUGUCACCUCCUGUGCCCUCGCUCGGAGUGGCACCCCUUCCACUUCAAGGCUGACCGCUAUGCCUGAUCCUACGUCUUUCAACCCGGGUCCAGCUUUCUGUCUCAUUUACAGCCUCUCCCUGGAGGAGGCCGUGGACUCCCACGGCGCCCGCGGUCACCCAUCCUCGAUGAGCCUGGACUCUUCAGCCUGGGCCCCCUCUAAACUUCUACGUGAAUGUCCACGGCUUUCCGGGAGCCGCUCCCUCAGUCCAAGUCCCUUGCAGCUCCUCCACUCAUCGCUGUAAACCGGCCGUGUCAAAGAGCUGGAGUCAUCGCCCCUGCACCCUCCCUAGCUGGUGACCAAGCAGACACCCUCCCUCUCCUUUGAACUCUGUCCCCUCCAGACUCUUGCUUCGUCGUUGGUCACGUGCCCAGGCCUCCUCUGCUCUGACUCUCUCAUCCACCUCUUCCGUCCUGUGAACUCCUGGGUCAAGCCUCCGCCGCACUUGCUUCUCAGCCCCUGUUGGCCUGGCUUCCUGCGUGGGGCCCCUCGCCCACCCAGAGCUGCCGUGGACGUGAUCAGGUAGUGGCACUCGUCGCUGUGGCUGAAGCCAGGUCCCUGCCAAGCCUGUCAGCAGGGGAGGGAGAAGGGAGAGUGAAGGGGGGUCGUGCCAGUGUGUCAAGACCCCACCAGGACAUUGCACACCUGAUGGGAGCUCACACCGGCGAGAACUUGGUCACACUUAGCCCCACUAGCUGCAAGAGAGGCUGGGAAAUGUCGUUUCUAGCAGGGUGGUCCUGUGUCCACCUCUCACAGCUGCCUGCUCCGGCCGAAGUCAUUGCCAUCUGCUCAGACAGAAUGGAAACGAGGAUGUAUUGGGCACUUGCCAUGUGCCAGACAUUGUGAUGGCCAUUUUCCGACGUCAUCCCCUUUCACCUUCACCAGUGUUUUACCUACACUGAGACAGCUGGGCCCAGCUUGGCUGGGCUGCUGCCUCCCGAGUCAUGCUCUGUGGAAGUCCUCCGUCUCAGGGCGCCUCUCUAGGUUAGUUUUUUGCAUGUCUGCCUCCCCCACUGAGUAUGUGCUUAAUAAAUGCUCUACUAAGUGGUGAAUCAGAGUGGGUUCAUUAAAUUAGCUCAUGAAAAUUACAUAAUGUCACCUCACUGGGUUAUGUUGUAGGCUAUUUUUGUUUUUCCUCCUUUGUCCCCUGAGCAGUAAUUAGCUGUCAGUCCCUGCAAGCGCUCAGGCAGAGUGUGGACGCCCACCUCAGGGAGGUUGUAUUGGAUUAGAUGAACCCCAGGACCCCCACAGUCCCAAGGAGCUGUAUUUCACCUCCACCUCAAUCACAACUUUUGGCAAUAAUUUUCAUUCUUCCACUCGGCAAAUCUGUGCUAAGGGCCACCCAGUCCCAGGUCCUCUCAGUGCUGAGCACUCAGUCGUGUACUAAGGAGGCCCCUGCUCUCAGGAACGAGCAUGGGAUGAAAAGACAGAUAGUAAACCCACCAACAAGAAGACAGAUGGCAACUCAGACAGAGAUAAGAGCCAAGAAGAAAAUAAAAGAGGACAAGAUGAGAACCAUAUGCCUGACGACCAGGGAAGGCCUCUCCAAGGAGAUGACAAUUCAAGGGACACCGAAUGAGAGAAGCGACAGCCAUGGACAGCUUUCCCAGCAGAGAGAACAAGCCCCAGUUGGAGUGUCUGAGGUUCCCAGAGCAGCCAGGGUGGCCGGAGCAGAGCAGGCGAGGAGAGAGAUGGGAGAGCCAGGUGGGGGCCAGGUGGCACAGAGACGCACAGACCAGGGGGCGGGGCCUGUUCUAAUGGGACAAUAAGUCACGUCCAGCUAUGAGCCGGGCAGUGAUGCGAUCCUAUUUAGAUUGUUGGACAGUUGUCCCAGCUGUUGUGUAGAAGGUGGAUUUUGUAGAGCUGGAGUGGAAGUGGGCUCCCGAUGGGAACAUUUUUGAAUGGUCCACCAGAGAGCUGACGGAGGCUGUGACCAGGGUGAUAGCAGUGGAGACGAGAAGCGGCAGGUCUGUGUUCUGUGAACAGCCCACAGGUCUUUCUGAAAAUGCUUCUUUUUAGAUAGCUACCACGUCCUCAUCUCCUGGGGCAUUAACACGUAUCAUUACAUCCCCUGGAAUCAAGGGCUCACAACACAGGACCGUGUGGUGGUCAGUGUGACAGCCCCUCUCCCAGGCUUGAAGGCUGCGUCUUGUCUGACUGCAGAUUAUACUCAUGGGUGGGCUCUUCACCUUGGCCUGAAUCCCUCUUUGGGUAGAGGUGAUCAUGGACAGUAGCCCUGCCUCCAUCAAGCUCAGUCCCAUUGGAGAGACAGACAGUGAACAAAGACAAAAAUACAUGUAAAAUGACACCUGUGAGGAGAGGUACACAAUGUCAGGACACACAAGACGGGCUUUGACCCCUAAGAGCAGUCAAAGGAGCCUUUCAGGAAGCACUGCUGGAGCUGACACUGGGAGGAAGGAGUGGGGUGGAGGCAUGUCAGCAGAGUCUGACAUGUGCAAAGGCUCUGGGGCAGGAGGGUCAGUGUUCCUUCCAGGAACCAUUAUUGAGCAGAUAGCAAGGAAGGUUGGAUGGGGACCAGUGUGGGUGUGUGUGUGUCUGUAGCAGAAGAUGGAGGCGUUCCUUUAGGGUCUCUGGUCACCUGUGAGGAUGGGCAAGCAGCUCAGAGGCUUGGAGAGCAGAGAAGGUUGAUAAAGGCAUUUUGAAAACAGCAUUUCCCACACUAUUCCUGGUUUAAGGGAAAGCUCUGUUGCUGAAAAUGCAUAUUUGACCCAGAGAUAGUAAGUUUCAUUUGAAGCCAAUGGAUUGUGAUCCAAGUUCUGAACUCUCUCCACUAGCCUAAAAGCGAUCGUCAUAUAAAAUCAGUCUAGCACUGGGGCCGGCCCCGUGGCCGAGUGGUUAAGUUUGUGCGCUCCACUUCAGCGGCCCAGGUUUUCGCCGGGUCAGAUCCUGGGCGCAGGCCUAGCACUGCUCCUCAAGCCAUGCCGAGGUGGCGUCCCACACAGCACAGCCUACAGCUAGAAUAUACAAGUAUGUACUGGGGGGCCUUGGGAAGGAGGAGGAAAAAAAAAUCAGUCUAGCAUUUAUAAGCCAAGAUGGCACUGACAUUCUUGGGUAGGAUUCCUGAAUUAUCCUACAGAGGGAGAAGAAGAACAGCCCGGUCACUCCAUUUAUCCUGGUGAAAAUUCCAGGGCAGUCCAGAAUUUGCCAAAAGUGCUGAAAGUCGGUUCAAAAGAACUCUUGCAUACCUCCCCGUCCAGGGCCACCGCCUGCUAAACGCUUCCUUAUUAAAAAGAGAAGAUGUCUCUUCAGGCCGAUGAGAAUGAACUACUCGCUAGAAUACAGACGACACCCCCUAAUAUUUUUUUCACUAUUAACUUGGAGCACCUGGAAGGAAGGAAGGCCAACCUCCCACCAUGUCUGCCCUGCUUUUUAAGUGAGUUCACUGGGGAGAAACUGUCGCAUUGCAAAACUUGAGAAAUGCCUGCCAAUCCAAAAAGUUUCUGUAACAGGAACCAAUACGCAUGUAAAAGAAAAAUCAAAAAACUAGAAGGAGGAAGGUGCUUAAACACAUAUGCUUUAAAAUGAAAAUAAUUUUUUUUAAUAAAAAGAUAGCUUGGACCUGAUUUAAAAGAGAAAAAAAUUACAGGCAGUCAGGGAACAAAAAUUAAGAUUUGUUUCCUACAAACCCUAAGACCAUGUAUGCUGGAGGAGAAUGUGUGUGUGUGCGUGUGUGUGGGGGGGGGUUGCAUUAGCGCUCAGUUUCAGAAGUGUCAGAGUGUUCAUACAUAAUGAUACCCCAGGCCGUCCAACCCUCGGAACUUCUCCCAAGGAAAUACUUUGAAUGAAAAAAACCAGUUGUGUGCACAAGAUGCUUAUUGCUUCGUUAUUUGCAAUAUUUUAAAGAAGUUAGACUUUAUUCUGGAGAGAAUGGGAGCAGAGUGUUAUAUGUGAGUCAGAUGGUCCGGGGCGUUUACAGUCAGUGCCGGUGUGGCGGAAGGGUUAAAGGAGAGGAGGACAACAGGUGAGGCGCUGGUGAGUUGUUCUAGAUAAGGGGUGGGGAGGGCCUGACUAAGGCCGUAAACUCCAGCUUAGUGAGGAGAGCCUAGUCAAAGGGAUGUUUAAAGGAUCAUUUAAAUGUGCAUAAGGAGAGAGAAGGAAGAAUCUAGACGGACACUCAGUUUGAGUGGAUGUUGGUGUAGCCAAAGAAGAUGGAGAACACAGAAGGAUGAUGCAACGUGACUAGAAAGGAAGUGGGGAGUUGCCUUACAACUACAAGCAGAGGAAUGUCACGUCGCUCCAGUGUUCUUCACAUUCCCAGAAAUAUGUCGUGGUUGAAAAGGAGGCAGAUGACUCAGCAUUCCCCUGGCUUUCGACAGAUUGACCGCGGAGCCCAAGCAGUGCUAAUGAGGACAGGCUGGCGGAAGGCGCAAUUAGGACGAGCUGGCCUGUCCCGCGAGUCUGGGGGCUGCAGGGUGCUGGGCAUGCGGAGAUGAACCAUGUAAACACAGCACAGUUUUCUCGAAGCUGGAUUAAGGGGCCCCUGGGUCCACGUUGCGUUCAUGUGAAUUCUUAGCUAUCCAGAGGUAUCAGACCAAACUCUGUGAAUUCGGUCGUGGUUCUGAUUGUUCACUUUGCAGUGGGGCCUGGGGCUGUCCUUAAAGCAGGCUCCUAUCCUAAACUUCCUCUCUUCUGUCCAGAAACCUGGGAGCUUUCUUCUACCUUGGUUAUUCCUUCAUAUUUCCUCCUUCUCUCAUUUUCCAAAUUAAACUUUUUUUCUAGUAGAAAGACCUGGAAAAUUAUUUCAAGGACAAGAAUUUGGCAACUGUCCCUGAAAAUGAAGCACAUGCUUUGCAGGGGUUUUAUGAUGUUCCAGAGAGUGGCCACCUGUUCCUUUCCACCCGCUCCGGGCGCCGGGCCACGGGGCUAAUGAGCCGUGAGACAGGGCCAGUGGCCUGUGUUGCAGAGGCUCUCGGUUCUUCAGAGGCCUCCUGUAACCCACGGUCUCCACGCACCCUGUCCUGCCAGCCUGUCGGUAGUCACUGAUCCAAGGCCCAUAGCCCAGAGCAACGCUGAGCUGUGGACACCUCCCAGGCUUUAUUUCCAAACUCAUAUUUACUCACCUGGAAGAAAGAAAAUUCAGAUUUCCCGAGGUUGCUGGUAACAACCUCAUAUCCACCAAAGGCAAAGGAGCCCCACACCGCCUCUGAAGGAUCCCUGAGACUCUCACCAGGCAAAGCCGAGUUUGUGAGGAGAAGCCUGGAAAGAGGCAGGUGGGCACCGGAGCCCCCACAUCCGGCCGCCAGCAUGCCUCAGCAUCUCCUAGACGCGUGACCACUGAAACCAGCUCCGCUCCGUGACUCUGUUUUUUGUCCAGGUGGCAACUAAACUGAUAAGGAGACAGCUCUCCCUGUACCAUGUGCCUCGGCGGUGGGGGUCCACAGCCCCCUGGAUGUGAACACGAGCCAGUGGAGUACGAGGCUAAGGGCUCUGGAGCUGACAGACCGGGCACAAGCCGAGACAGAAUCCACCCCCUAACCUUCCACCAUUGGAGUCAUGAGGUCAGGAGCUGGAGGCCCCCCAAGGAAAGGCUGUAGCUAAAGGCUGCAGAUGCUGAAAACGGUUACAAACACACAUACUGUUAUUCCUUCUGGCCCGAGCGAUUUCCUAAGACGGUGAAAUUAGCCACGAAGGAAUUUCCUCCUUUACUCGGAAUGGAGUUUUGGCUGAAGGUCCAAGAUGUCUUGAAAGGAAGAGAGAAGACAGAGGCUUUGAUUUCAGCCCCUAAGAGUCUUCUGGAAUUUUACAGCAGGUGCAGCAACUGGGGGCAAAUAUGUGAUGGAGAACAAGAAGCAACCCUCUUCUCUUCAAAGCUGUGGUUGGUGAGGUCCCAGGGCUUGCUUAGGUAGGAAGGAUCUAGCCAAUUCCAGGACCAAAACUUCUCCCUCUAUUGACACAUUCUGGAAAAAUGACUAAACCUUUCUGUACCUCAGUUUUCCCAAGUGCAAAAUCAGAAAAAUUAUUUUAACCCAUUUUAUAGAACGGUUGCAAGGAAAACACAACCAUGGGUAACACUCGAGAGGGACUUUGCUUGUAGCUAAUUGGCACAUAAAUGCUUCAGACUGUCAGGCCCUGGGGAAGCCUGCAGGCCAAUCCUCCUGAUUGGAAUCUAUUGUCAGGGCAUUAGUAAACACGACCUUAGUGAAACAAAAGCAUAAGGAGACCAGCACAUGCACUGUGCAUUGUGCCAGAACUUUCCAUCGUGUGCUGCUGAACUGAGAGACCGAAUACUUCUGUCCUCUCCCUCGGCCCACUAAGGAAAGUAUUUUUAUUUCAUUGCAUACAUAUUUUCCUCCUUCCCUUGGUCAUGAAUCAGAACACUUUAGAGCCAGAAGGAGUUUUAGGGCUAUUCUCGUUGUUUCCCGUUUUACACACAGCAGGUCCUGGAACUAAGCGGCCCGAGUUUUCUGACUCAGGGCAUUGUUCAAAGGAACCACCAAGCUCAACCCAGCCACAGCUGGGGCAACAGCCCUGCUCACUGUUCCCACUACAGGGCGAGCUAGUGUGUCAGAGCGUUCUUCCUCGGACCUCGUUGACAUGCGUCUUUUUGUAGAAGGCUCGCAGUGGGCCAAAUGCUGAAGGGCUGGGCUCAGGACCGGACUCUGGGUCUGUGGAGGGAAGAGGUGGGAAGUCAACCGUUGUCUACAGAGUCCUGCCAUGUGCUCGGCGAUGUGGUGGGUUAUCACAUUGUGAUCUUCACCAUAAUCUUGGGAAACAGGCGGCGUAUUCCCAUCCAUGGCCAUGGGAAAUGAGGGUUAGAAGUGUAAGCAACUUCUCCGGGGGUGAGAGAUCCAGGCUUCCAGCCCAGAUUCCGAAGCUUGCCUUCUUGCCACUCCCCCUCGGGCGUUAUCAGAGAAACUGUGUCCUGGGCAGAUGACCAAGGCAAGGACUUGGCCUCAGGGAAAAGUCUGGGAUGGAUUCCUGAAAAUGGAGGAUAGGCUUGAAGGAACAAGGCAAGAAGCCAAUUCACAGGCCUGGGGUUCAGGGAGGACAGAGCUAACUGGAUGCCAAGACCGGAGCUGUGGGCCCUGGAGCCCUGCACAGCACUUGCCCUCUGUCCUGAGCAAACACAGCCCCUGUUACUUUUGACUGAUGGUGCCUUGACUCUGGAAUCUGGCAGCCCUCCUGACUUUUAACCGAACGUUUUAUGCUGAGUCAGCUGCCUUGUGAACUCCUUUUAGCCACAACAGCUGGUCACUGAAUGGGGACAUGGAACCCCCGGAUACCUGAUGGAGAGCUCCGCGUCACGGUACACAAAGGUUACAAGCAGAACCGUCAGCCUGCUGGCUUUUGAUCCUGCCUCUGUCACCUACAGCAGUGUCAGCUUGGGCAGGUCACUGAGGCUCGGGGUGCCUCAGUUUCCUCAUCUGUAAAGUGGAGGAAAUAACGGAUGAUAACUGUACCCGCCCCGUAGGGCUGUUUGAAGAUGACAUGAGUUAGUCCACAUAAAACUGCUUCCAACAGCGCCUGGCACAUAGUAGGUGCUCAAAACUAGGUGGUUGUCUCUGAUUCCUGCACACGCCCGUCACAGCACGGGGCAGCACUCCCCUAAAGGGACCUCAUGGGGACCUUAUCCAGGCUGGGGACACGCUGUCUUCUGAGCCAGGCCACUCCGUUUUUGGACUGCUCUGACUAAGAAAACGCUUCCUUGCUUUCAGCCAAAUCCACCUCCGCGCCGCUCCCACUCAUCCUUCCCAGCUCUGCCAGCAGGCAAAUGUCAAAAAAAUAUUCUCGAAAGAGAGGACACAGAAUGUAAAUAAUCAUGAUAGAAUCGGGUUGAGGAAUGACAGUCGUCCUCGCAGCUGCCAUUGCCACAGCGAGGCACAGCCCGGGGUGAAGUCAAAGACCUUCGAGUUAAAUUCGAAAACCGGCAAAAGUUCUUAGUUUUUCUCUGCUGCCUUUAGGAAUGCAUCAAACAACUUCCUUCUCCAUUCUCGUCAGACCAUAGCAUGCUGCUGGACGGCCACGAGACUGAGGGAAAAGUCGCUGCACGUGGGCAAAGGUGAUGGUCACAAGGGCGGCAGAGCUGUGACCUCAUUCCCUCGCUACGUGCGGGGCGCCCUGUAAUCGCCGGGCGCCCAGGGAGUGUGCUGGGAGGCGGCGGCCCUGGCGGGCGGCCCUCCUGUUUACAGAGCCUCUCUGGCGUCAGGUAUAAGAUCAUGACCCAUGCAGCCCUUCCUGCCUCCACGGCGUGUACUGUGACAUAAGACGACUGCACACAUCUUUUUCUAGAAAGAUUUGACAGCCUAGCUCGCCAACGACUCUUGUUAAAAUGAUUUGUAACAGAGAUUUUGAGUGUUACAAGAUGAAGAGUUCUGGAGAUCUGUGGCACAGCAACGUGAAUAUAUUUAACCCUACUGAAUUGUACACUUAAAAACGAUGAAGAUGGGAAAUCUCCUGUUAGGUGCUUUUCACCACAAUUAAAAAAGAUAUAUAAAAAAGAAUGAAAUGUAUAGAUGAAAUAAUAUGACAAAGUUGCUUGAAAAUGAUACAAAAAGAUGCAAACGUUCAUCAAGCUGUAGAAGGAUGAUUUAUGCGCUUUUCUCCAACAUUAGACGUGAUUAAAAAGUUUACGUACUGAAAAUAAUAGCAGAGGAGGAGGAGGUAAGGGGACUAUAGUUGAACAAGAUGAUCCGUGAGUUUGCGCCCGCUGCCAUUGGAGGGGUGCUAGUCUGUAUUUGUGUGUGUUUGCAAAUUUUCAUAAUAAAAAUUAGAUUGCAUGAAACAUUUACAAUGUUAGAAAAAAUGAUUGGAACAUUUCAAGAAUAAAUCACUUGGAACUCAGGACAUGGGUGUGGACUCCUCUCAGUUGCUUCCGGCGGGCAGGGGGGAAUUCGGUGCCCAGUACGUGAUGCAAGAACUGCCACGUCGUGUUUCUAAAUCGAAG